CAGAAUGUCCCAGAUGGAGGCAAGGGGCCUUUGGGUUUCCAGCGUACAUCUGUCGUUUGAUUGAGGCCGCCCCUGGGAAGGGCUGAAACCUUGGGUAAGGCAGCUUCCUUCUGUUGAGGGCAAUUUCCAGAGAGAGACUCAGCCGUGAGCCAUCAGCUUCCAACACUACCAGCAGCUGGGGGAGGUUGGGAUAGUAAGAGCCUCUGGUGAGAAGGGAGAGCCGGCCAGAACGCCACAGCGCCCGUUGCCGGUGGCCAUUUUGUAUGAGCUUGGGAAGGGCUCAGGGGCCCGGAGACAAGGGGUCUGUUUCUUUAGGGACCAAAUGACUCUGGAGGGAGAAGCCAAGGCAGGGGAAAGAGAUUGAACAGAGAAGACAGACAGAUGGAGCUCUUAGAACUUGAAGAGACUUAGAGAACUUCAGUCCAAUCCCACAACCCAAUAUCGGACUCCGCCCAAAAGCAAGCGGGAAGUGGCUCGCUGCACCUUCCCUGGAGGGUGGAGAAGUUCUUCCUUAUUGUCAGCUAACAUCAGCCUUCCUCUAUACGCAUUCUCUCCCAUCUCCUUUUCCAGAAGGCUGCUGAGGCUCAUCGCUUGGAAGCACCAGGAAAUGUGUCUCCCUUCCUCCACCGGGCAGAUCCUCAAAUAUUUUGAAGACACUUUUUAUACUCUCUCUAAAUCUUUUCUCCAGGAUAAACAUCCUCAGGCCUGCAUAGACUCUAAGGUUUCUUCCGACCAUACAAUUCAAUUACACUAGGAGAUUCCUUGAUCUUCCUUAUAUGCUAUUGUUCCAAACACUUCUUCAAUCAUCAUAUAUUUAUUAAGUAUCUAUCUGGGGCCAGGCACUUCAGUAGGUUCUGGGGAUACAAAAAUAAACAAGGACAUUCCUGCUCCAUGAGUUGAUGCUCUUUGGGAGCAAAGACAAGGAAAAAUCUCUCUGAUACGACUAGUGCAACCAGCAGCACUUAAGAGAAAGCACGGGAUGUAAGGUGUACUGCCUAGAUUUGAAUUCUGUCCUGACCGCUCACAAGCGUGUGUCUUCGAAUUGCUUAAUCUCUUGAUCUCAUCUCUUGAGUUAAUCUCCUUCAUUCAUAGAAAGGAUAAAUACAAUGUCUACCUCGUAGCAUUGUCAUGAGGAAUUAAAUGGAUGAGUCCAUGUGAGCCUCUUAAAACAGUGCCUGGCACGCAAUAAAGACGCAGUGAAAGGCUCUAGAAACAAGGUGUUCGGAGCUGGCCACAGCACGUCAGAUGUGGCAGACCAGCCUGGAACACAUAUACGUCUAGGCACGAAGGGCACUUCUUGCACACGGUCCAAGACAGCGAUCACCUGCCUUUGCCAGUACUAUGCUGGGUGCUGGGCAUAUGAAGACAGGUCACAGCUGCCUCUGCACUGAGCUGUGUAUGUGCGUGUAUCAGAUUCAAGAGGGUGGCAAGAGAUGAGUUAAAGAUCUUCUAGCUAAACCUCCCACUCGCCUUCAGCUCCAGGGGCGAGCCUGCUAACCUAGGAGAGCCGCCUGCUCUCAGAAACUGGAGUCCUUGGGGGGCGCUGUUGGCACCAUGCUAUGGCCCACUCCCUCCCUUCUCUCCCCAGAAUAACCACUGCUCAACAAGUUUGAGUCCUCGGGCAGUCUUCUCUGUCUGAAAACUGGAGAAAAGGAAGGCUCUAUAUCAAAACUCUCAGGGACCGAGGAAGGAAGUUAAAUAAACCCAAGAGUCCUGAAACAACCUGACAUUGGAGAAUCAACUAAUAGAAGCUACAGCACCGGGUUGAGCAAAUAAAACCUGCUCCUGCCUCCACAGAGCCUAGAAUGGGACAUCUUGAAAGAAUCCAGAGGCUGUUAGCCAUUUGAACCCUCAGAGAGAAAGCUCCAAGCACAGUGCUGCAGGCUGCAGUUCUCAGUUGCUGUUCCCUCCUUUCACAGGGUGAGGGAAAGCCGUGGUUGAUAAGCAGAUGGCCCAGCUGACCCUCAUCAGCCCGCGAACACUGCACGCAAAAAGAAUUAAUAAAUCAAAUCUAAGAGAGUUAAAAAGGGAGAUGGUUACAUCUUACCAAUAAGUUCAUUAUUUUCCACAUUGGCUCAGCUCUGGACUAUGUCAAAGAAAUGGAUGGUGUUAUCUAACGUAGCCCAGACCACCAGAAGGGGCAGCAUGGGCAGACCACACGCGAUCACGCGUGCACAUAAGCACGGAGGAUUCGGAAAGACCAAGAAAGUAAUCUAAGUAACAGAGGCCCAAGAUCUGGCGAUUCCAAAAGAGCAGUCUUGACUGUCUUCUCUGAGCUUUACAGAGUCACGUUUGCCCUGAUUACCCUGCGGAAACAGGAGGAACUCGUCUGGUCGGUUUCACCCAUUUGUUGGCAUUUCCCUGUUGCCAAAUAUAGGCCCCAGGAAUUGUGUUUAAUCACUCACUCUCUUGCCUUUUUGCAGCUCUCUCAAUUUGGUGCCAUGGAAUAGAGGAAAGUAACCCCUUUUACAGUUUAAUAAGAGGCACCUAUAAAAUCAGCUGUAACGGAUCCAAUCUGGUUGGGCCAGGGGCUGGGCAAGGCCAAAAAGAUUCAAAGGCGAACUGCCCUCCACCCACAUAAUUCAAAAUAAAAUUAAGCUAUAAAAUAAUGUUGGAGAGUUAAAAAUAUUCUAUUUCUGGUUGUUUGGGGUGGGGUUUUUUUGGUAAGAAAGGUUGGCCCUGAGCUAACAUCUGU
ensembl:lncRNA